UACGUAGGGUGCGAGCGUUGUCCGGAAUUACUGGGCGUAAAGAGCUCGUAGGUGGUUUGUCGCGUUGUUCGUGAAAACUCACAGCUCAACUGUGGGCGUGCGGGCGAUACGGGCAGACUGGAGUACUGCAGGGGAGACUGGAAUUCCUGGUGUAGCGGUGGAAUGCGCAGAGUAUCAGGAGGAACACCGGUGGCGAAGGCGGGUCUCUGGGCAGUAACUGACGCUGAGGAGCGAAAGCGUGGGGAGCGAACAGGA
rnacentral:rRNA from 1 species